UUAGAGUUUGAUCCUGGCUCAGGAUGAACUCUAGCGGCAGGCUUAACACAUGCAAGUCGAGGGGCAGCAGGGAGCGGCAACGCUCCGCUGGCGACCGGCGCACGGGUGCGUAACGCGUAUGCAACCUACCUUCAACCGGGGGAUAACUCGGGGAAACCCGAACUAAUACCCCAUAUUCCCGUCCCCCCGCAUGAGGGGGCGGGGAAAGAGCUUUGGUUUUAGAUGGGCAUGCGUGGCAUUAGGUAGUUGGCGGGGCAACGGCCCACCAAGCCUACGAUGCCUAGGGGAGCUGAGAGGCUUACCCCCCACACUGGUACUGAGACACGGACCAGACUCCUACGGGAGGCAGCAGUGAGGAAUAUUGGUCAAUGGGCGGAAGCCUGAACCAGCCAUGCCGCGUGGAGGACAGAGGCCCUAUGGGUCGUAAACUCCUUUUGCCGCAGAGUAAUAAGGGUCCUGCGGGGCCCGAUGAGAGUAUGCGGCGAAUAAGCAUCGGCUAACUCCGUGCCCAGCAGCCGCGGUAAUACGGAGGAUGCGAGCGUUAUCCGGAUUUAUUGGGUUUAAAGGGUGCGUAGGCUGUUUGUCAAGUCAGGGGUGAAAUACCCGGGCUCAACUCCGGAACUGCCUUUGAUACUGGCAGGCUUGAAUACUGUUGCCCUGGGAGGAAUGAGUAGUGUAGCGGUGAAAUGCAUAGAUAUUACUCAGAACACCGAUUGCGAAGGCAUCUCACGAAGCAGUCAUUGACGCUGAGGCACGAAAGCGUGGGGAUCAAACAGGAUUAGAUACCCUGGUAGUCCACGCAGUAAACGAUGAUAACUAACCGUCGGCGAUAGACAGUCGGUGGCCAAGCGAAAGCGAUAAGUUAUCCACCUGGGGAGUACGACCGCAAGGUUGAAACUCAAAGGAAUUGACGGGGGCCCGCACAAGCGGAGGAACAUGUGGUUUAAUUCGAUGAUACGCGAGGAACCUUACCCGGGCUCGAACGGUACAGGAAGAGAUCCAGAGAUGGUGACGCCCUUCGGGGCCUGUAUCGAGGUGCUGCAUGGUUGUCGUCAGCUCGUGCCGUGAGGUGUCGGCUUAAGUGCCAUAACGAGCGCAACCCUUGUUGCCAGUUACCAUCAAGUAGAGUUGGGGACUCUGGCGAGACUGCCACCGUAAGGUGUGAGGAAGGGGGGGAUGACGUCAAAUCAGCACGGCCCUUACGUCCGGGGCGACACACGUGUUACAAUGGUGGGUACAGAGGGCAGCUACCUGGUGACAGGAUGCAAAUCUCGAAAACCCAUCUCAGUUCGGAUUGUAGUCUGCAACUCGACUACAUGAAGUUGGAUUCGCUAGUAAUCGCGCAUCAGCCAUGGCGCGGUGAAUACGUUCCCGGGCCUUGUACACACCGCCCGUCA
rnacentral:rRNA from 1 species